AGUGGACGCUGGCGGUAGGCCUAACACAUGCAAGUCGAACGGCAGCACAGUAAGAGCUUGCUCUUACGGGUGGCGAGUGGCGGACGGGUGAGGAAUACAUCGGAAUCUACUUUUUCGUGGGGGAUAACGUAGGGAAACUUACGCUAAUACCGCAUACGACCUACGGGUGAAAGCAGGGGAUCUUCGGACCUUGCGCAAUUGAAUGAGCCGAUGUCGGAUUAGCUAGUUGGCGGGGUAAAGGCCCACCAAGGCGACGAUCCGUAGCUGGUCUGAGAGGAUGAUCAGCCACACUGGAACUGAGACGCGGUCCAGACUCCUACGGGAGGCAGCAGUGGGGAAUAUUGGACAAUGGGCGCAAGCCUGAUCCAGCCAUACCGCGUGGGUGAAGAAGGCCUUCGGGUUGUAAAGCCCUUUUGUUGGGAAAGAAAAGCAGCAGGUUAAUACCCCGCUGUUCUGACGGUACCCAAAGAAUAAGCACCGGCUAACUUCGUG
rnacentral:rRNA from 1 species